rnacentral:rRNA from 1 species
GAUGAACGCUAGCGGCAGGCUUAAUACAUGCAAGUCGAGGGGCAGCAGUUUUGUAGCAAUACAGAAGCUGGCGACCGGCAAACGGGUGCGGAACACGUACGCAACCUUCCUUUAACUGGAAGAUAGCCCAGGGAAAGGUGGAUUAAUACUCCAUAACAUAUUGAAGAGGCAUCUUUUUGAUAUUAAAGCUGCGGAGGUUAAAGAUGGGCGUGCGUCUGAUUAGGUAGUUGGCGGGGUAACGGCCCACCAAGCCUGCGAUCAGUAGCUGGUGUGAGAGCAUGAUCAGCCAAACGGGCACUGAGACACGGGCCCGACUCCUACGGGAGGCAGCAGUAAGGAAUAUUGGUCAAUGGACGCAAGUCUGAACCAGCCACGCCGCGUGGAGGAUGAAGGCCCUCUGGGUUGUAAACUUCUUUUCUUUGGGACGAAACCCCUGUUUCUACGGGGACUGACGGUACCAGAGGAAUAAGCACCGGCUAACUCCGUGCCAGCCGCCGCGGUAAUAC